UACGAAGGGGGCUAGCGUUGUUCGGAAUUACUGGGCGUAAAGCGCACGUAGGCGGACAUUUAAGUCAGAGGUGAAAGCCCGGGGCUCAACCCCGGAAUUGCCUUUAAGACUGCAUCGCUUGAAUCCGGGAGAGGUGAGUGGAAUUCCGAGUGUAGAGGUGAAAUUCGUAGAUAUUCGGAAGAACACCAGUGGCGAAGGCGGCUCACUGGACCGGCAUUGACGCUGAGGUGCGAAAGCGUGGGGAGCAAACAGG
rnacentral:rRNA from 1 species